rnacentral:rRNA from 1 species
AUUGAACGCUGGCGGCCGGCCUAACACAUGCAAGUCGAGCGAGUGGCGGACGGGUGAGUAAUGUCUGGGAAACUGCCUGAUGGACGGGGAUAACUACUGGAAACGGUAGAUAAUACCGCAUACCAUCAGAUGUGCCCAGAUGGGAUUAGCUAGUUGGUGGGGUAACGGCUCACCAAGGCCACGAGCCCGAGCUGGUCUGAGAGGAUGACCAGCCACAUUGGAACUGAGACACGGUCCAGAAUCCUCCGGGCGGCAGCAGUGGGGAAUAUGGCACAAUGGGCGCAAGACUGAGGCAGACAUGCCGCGUGUAUGAAGAAGGCUUUCGGGUUGUAAAGUACUUUCAGCGGGGAGGCGUUACCCGCAGAAGAAGCACCGGCUAACGCCGUGCCAGCAGCCGCGGUAAUAC